CCUUAAAAACUAAUGCAUGGAUGACCAGACCAUACGAUAAAGAUGAAGAGCAGAAAAAAGACAAUAGAAACUGAAAUUGCAUUUAAUAGAUAGUAAGAACAGUUACAUUACAAGGACAUUGACUCUGCUAAGUUCCUAAGAAAAGAGGUUUAGCCUCUCAUAGCCAUGAGAGACUUUACACUUUAAGGGCUAAUGGAAGAGGGGGUUGGAUGACUAGAAGCAAGAAAGGGGGGAAUGACUAAAGAAAUAUGGUUUCUCCUAAGGGAGAGGCUGAGGCUUUAGA
rnacentral:lncRNA from 1 species